ACUCGCUCUCUCAGACAUCCGCCCCUGAAGCUUCCUGUCUUCAUCUUCCACCAUUGUGUGCCUGAAACGUUCUUCACUGUUUCCCCUGUUUUCUCUCCGACCACCACCGACCAUGUAGUAACUAUCCCUCGACCAAGCCGUCCCUGCACCUUCCACUAUCAAUACUCCCGAGGCUUGAUAUGUUGCUCUUCUUUCGAAUCUCAUUUGGUUACCAUAUACAACCCUACCACCAGGCAGGUUUUUCCGUUACCCUAGAUCCAAGCCCCAACAAGGUCCGGAUUGAGUUCAUGCUUCUUUGGCUACGACCCUAUCACGAAUCACUACAAAGUCUUGUCCACUAUUUUCAACUGUGACGAGCGGAAGCAAACUUAUCAUGUUUUCACAUUGGGAUGUCAGCAAUCUUGGAGGAAAGUGAAAGGCAUUGAUGAAGAUUCCUAUCCAAACGAUUACAAUGUAUGCAUCGACGGGACUAUCUACUACAACGCAUACAGAAAACCUCGUGAGACUAUUUUGCUGAGUUUCGACCUUAGGUCCGAAAGAUUUGAUCGCGUCUUGGUUCCAGAAGCAUUAUCAAAAGCAUUGUUGGCUCGUAUUAAUAAUCAACGUCUGGUAAACCACCUAGGUAAGUUGGGAUGCAUAUGUUGUAACGACGGCGACACAAGUAUCUGGAUUAUGGAUGAUGCCAAAAAACAAGAAUGGUCGAGAACAAUCCUUUGCUUGCCAAACUACCCAGUGAAGUUGUUAGGAGCUGAUGUGGAUACCUUCUCUGGUGCCACCCCUGCUGGAGAGAUUUAUGCAACUAUUUCUUUGAUAAGUCAUUGUAUGUUUACUACUAUGACAUGAACCAAAACAGCUUUAGAAGAGUUCAUAUCGAAGGUGGUGUUCGCGAUAAAACAAAGAAGCAUAGGUAUUGUGUUGAAGUAUUUGCGAUUCAUGAUCAUGUCGAGAAUACAAUGUCGUUGUAACAAUUUUCUUUUGUAUUUACUUCUUCUCAGUUACUUAAGUGUUAUAUACGACGACCCACUGCUUUUAUGCUUUGCAAGUGUAUUUUGGCUGGCGACCAUCUAUAUAUAUUUGGAUUCUUUUCCUCUUUACUUUGACCCUUAGUUAGAAUUUACAACAAAAUUUUAUGUUUAUCAUGAGAGUUGUGUAUCAUUCUUCACCCUAAGAAUUAGGCAUGGACAUAAAAAAACUGAAACACGAAUCCAAACCUGAACCCAACCAAAAUAAAGGUAUUGGAUUUGUUUCAUAUCCAGCAAAUAACCCGAUCAGGUUUCAUAUUUUGAUACUUCAGAUAUCGGGUUUGGUUCAGUCGGUUUAACCCAAUAACCGAAACAUAAUCCGAGUAUUAUCUAAGGGUGCAACUGGAAUGCAUUUUUUUGGAAUAAAAACUUCAUGAAUACUUAAUUCUUUCUCAUUCCAUAAAAUAUUCACCAAUUGCAAUGAAAAGAAGGAAUAACUAUUCCAUCUCAUUCCAUAUUAUUUCUUUUCAUUCCAAAAAAAAUAUCAACAUUCUUUUGAAAAACCAUUCCACAUCAAAAUAGUUUUGGAACAAAUGGAAUAUUAAUUCCAUUCCAUUGAAUUCCACUAAUUAUCAUUCAUGUAAUUCCACUUAUUCUCCCAUGUUUUCUCUCCGACCACCACCGACCAUGUAGUAACUAUCCCUCGACCAAGCCGUCCCUGCACCUUCCACUAUCAAUACUCCCGAGGCUUGAUAUGUUGCUCUUCUUUCGAAUCUCAUUUGGUUACCAUAUACAACCCUACCACCAGGCAGGUUUUUCCGUUACCCGAGAUCCAAGCCCCGACAA
rnacentral:lncRNA from 1 species